UGUUAUCUUGACAUCCUGCUAGGCCUCAGUUAAAAGUUGUAAGACUUCAUCUGUGGGUUUACGGAAAGUUUCUGCAGAUUCCUAGCUUAAGAAGAGAACGGAAUAACGGAAUUAGUACCAUUCUGAAGCAGGCCCCGUCAUGUUUGUCCUGUGAUCCGCAUCUGAGACAUCCUCUCCUUUCUCCAGGUGCAGUGAGGACACAGCUCUGGGCAAUAUUCUCAAAUACGGUCUCUCCUUAAAGAAGAGAGAUGAGGAUUCCUGCCCCACCCCCCCCCCCCACCCCAGCUGCUGCACCCACAUCUCUGAAUGUCACAGGCAGGGCCAGUAACGCUGGUAACACUUCCUUGAGACGAGGCUGCAGCCUGGCCCUGUGAACUCAUUUCCCCACAGGUCACGUGGUCAAUGGCAGGGUGUUCAGAUCCACUUUUUUCCCAUGAUGCCAUGCUGCCUCCAGGAAAUGCAUUUUCAGUUGAGGCCUGUGCUGUGGACCCCCUGUCCCCCACCAACACCCACUGUGUUGGUAUUUGGAGGUGGGCCUUGGGAGGGAAUUAGGGGUAGAGGAGGUCACAGGGCCCCAUGAUGGCAUCGGUGUCCCUGUAGGCAGAGGAAGAGACAGCAGUUUCCUCUGUGCCCUGUGAGGACGCAGCAGAAGGCGGCCGUCUGUAAGGCAGGAGGCGGGUCCUCACCAGAACUGAACUGGCUGGCGCCUUGAUCUUGGCUUCCCGGCCUCCACACCUGUGACUGGAAUAUUCCUCAGGCUUCCUGGCCCGUGGUGUUUGGGUGUAGCAGCCUGAGCCGCCCAAGAUGAGAUGCUUUGAAGAAAAUGAGGACUGCGCGUCCACCAGAGAGUCAUGGUGGCCAUGUCCUUGAGGCCAUGUGGUGGCAGUCUUGACCAGAGUGAUCUGCCCUCCCCGGGGCCGUCCUGCCGGGCUGGGGGCUCACGUGCUGUCAUUUUAGCACAUCUGCAGCUGAGGAUAAGAUUUUUAUUGGUGCUACUGAUACCGUCAUUAGAGAUCACAUUGUGACUAAUUUUUACUAAGAGGUGACUUCUUAAAAAAUUAAGUUAGAUUUCAAAUGGAAUAAUUUAAGUUAGGAAGUUUUUAGGCAUGGACUGAGCAGUGCUGAUACCCGAGUGUCCCACGUCUCUAACUUCUUUGUCACACAUCCUGCGCACCUGAACAUGGCUCGGGCCGGUGCCAGGCCGCUUCUGGUCACAGCAGAGCGGUGUCGUGGGGCACGACACAGCCACCCCAGGGCCAGGAGACCUGCCACCAGCCAGCGCUGCGGCCCGUGGAGUCCCCUCAAGUGGUCACGUUCCCCCCCCCCCCUGAGUUUUCUGUUUCUUCAGCCCUGCAGGAGAUAAUCUGUGGAUUUCUUUCGGCCCCAGAUGUAACUGGAAAGAGGGAGUUCAAGCUUGGCCACCACUGCAGCCUUCAUUCUGUAGAGCAAACUCGAGUUAACCCAUGAAAGGCGCCUACCGUGGUGCCCGGCCUGUGCUCGCAGCCUCGUAAGCAUCAGCCACUAGACUCAUCAUGACCAUCAGGCCAAGAGCAGUGGAAGCGGAACUGCGUGGGGCUGGAUUGAAAGACCGGCUGUCUCCGCAGACUAUAGACUCGUUGAAGACGAGGAUGCAUCUUCUCCGUUCCCGAAGCCUCCGUUCCGAGCAGUACCCACCAGACACUUCGCACGGGCGGCAGGAUGUGUGCGAGGUGACUGUCCCCACCCAGGCCACAGCUCGUCUCCUCCCUGAGGGUGCUGGCAGGUGCAUCAGACGCUUUGAGAAUUCUAGAUCCACGUUCACACACAACAUCCGUGUAGUGUUCUAGCAAGUUCUGAGCUCUUA